AAUCAUAUACGGUUAGCAAAUGCUGAUGUGGUGGGAAGAGUAUGGGAAGAGUAUAUAGAAAAGAGCGCCAAAUCCAUAUUUACUACUGGAAAGAUGAUAUUAUUCGCUGCACUUGUAAACAAACACACACAAGCAUGCCUGAAAAAUAGCCCUUUUACGCUAAAUAUUUCUUAUACCCAUUCCAUUUUUAAGAAAUAUGCCUAAUUUUUCAAUACAAAUACAGACAAAUGCUUGGCCGCACGGGCACAGGUACAGUCAUCUCCAGCAAUAUGCUUUGCUUGUGCUUUAAUGUACCAGUUUACACUAAACUCAAAGUGCCCAAUUUUUGCCAUUUUUGUGCAAAUAAAUCAUCUACAGAUAAAUUAUGUCAAAUAAUGCUUUUUAACUAGAAAAAUUUAGACAUCAACAAUAAGAAAAAUAAUCUAGUUGAUAAACAAAGCGCACUGAAGUUUUUAGCGAUCUAAUUAUGAUAAAGCUGAAUCUAUGUGGCAUUCAAAAGGUUGUUAAAAAUUAUUUUUGUUUUGGCUCGGAUACCUGAAUGUUGCCUUGCUUAAACAAUACGAUACAAGUAUUCUAUUUUUCUCAGAAGAAAUGGUUUACAAACCACAUGUGACAAAAAGCGUAUGUUCAAAUGCUUUUAAAAUAAGUAUUUCAACAGAAAAUUCACAUAUUUGCGAAAGAGAAACGUAUUACGAGCCUUAACAAAUAAACAAAAAUUAUAAACAUACAUAUAUUAAUUAUUAAUAUGUUGUAUUUUGUACAUGGUAACGUUAUACGAGCCUCAACAAUAUAUUAACUGAAUUAUUUAUAACUUACAUUUUUGUUCAACAAGUAGGACCAUGAAAUACAUACAUAUACCAAUCUUGCUUUUCCGUUCAUAACGUUAUGCAUAAAAGAGAAACAAAUAUAAACAUGCAUUUAAUUUUUCGACACAUAGUGUCUUUCAACCAUGAAAGAAGGCCAGAAAGUUGUUUCCUAAGAAAAUUCAUGUAACAUCAUAAAAAUUGUGUAAUUCGACUAAGCCUAUUGCUGAUUUUACUCAUUAAAUAUAACUUAAUUGUAUGGAAAAUGCGACAAAUAAACUGAUGAAAGAAAGGGAAGAACUGCUUUUAAUCAUGAAAAAGAAUAAGAUAGAAUA